UCCUCGUACUCAUGCUGGUUUAACCCCUGGCUGAGAAGAAUUACCGGCUCUAAGAUCCGGUGAAAGCGACCCAUCCUCUCCACCACCCAGGCCUCCUGCUGCGGCACAAACAGGACCACUGUGUUCACGGUAAUGUUUUGCUGCAGAGCGUGUGACAAGAUGAGAAAGCCUGCAGCAGCUGAAGCCAGAGUGGAGUCUCUGCUGCUCGUGACAUUCAGGAUUCCCACCCUGCUUCACACAGACACUUGGCUGAUGUUGCCAAGUAGG